GAUGAACGCUGGCGGCGUGCCUAAUACAUGCAAGUCGAGCGAACAGACGAGGAGCUUGCUCCUCUGACGUUAGCGGCGGACGGGUGAGUAACACGUGGAUAACCUACCUAUAAGACUGGGAUAACUUCGGGAAACCGGAGCUAAUACCGGAUAAUAUAUUGAACCGCAUGGUUCAAUAGUGAAAGACGGUUUUGCUGUCACUUAUUGAUGGAUCCGCGCCGCAUUAGCUAGUUGGUAGGGUAACGGCUUACCAAGGCAACGAUGCGUAGCCGACCUGAGAGGGGGACCGGCCACACGGGACCUGAAACCCGGUCCAGACCCCGAGGGAGGCAGCAGUAGGGAAUCUUCCGCAAUGGGCGAAAGCCUGACGGAGCAACGCCGCGUGAGUGAUGAAGGUCUUCGGAUCGUAAAACUCUGUUAUUAGGGAAGAACAAAUGUGUAAGUAACUAUGCACGUCUUGACGGUACCUAAUCAGAAAGCCACGGCUAACUACGUG
rnacentral:rRNA from 1 species